GACAAUAUUAAGAAAAUGGCUAUAGAGAUAUUAGAAAAAUCAAAGAAAAAGGAGCUAUCCGUAAGAAAACUUGGUGGUGGAAUGAGAAAGUUCAAUCAAUAGUUAUGGCUAAAAGAGAGUGCUUUAACGGACUAUCUAAAUAUAGGAAUAAAGAAGCGUAUGAAACUCGGCUAAGAAGGAAGUUAAGAAGAAAAUAUGAGGGGCUAGAUUCAAAGCGUAUAAAGAGUUAUAUUGCAAGUUAGAAAUUAGGGAUGGAAAAAAAUAUCUAUAAGAUUGUAAGACUUAGAGAAAAGAAAACUAGAGACUUAGGCUAGAUACAUCGUAUGAAAUUAAAAAUUGGUUAAGGAGGAUGAGAUCAAAGAAAGAUGGAGAAGUUAUUUUGAUAAACUAUUUGAUGCAAAUCAUUUAAAUGGUUUGGGGUACCUUACUAGUUCCAUUGAAGAUUUAUGUUUAAUAUAUAUGUAGAAUUAGAGCAUUUGAGGUAAAGAAGGUUACGAAAAGGAUGAAUAGGAAAAAUAGUUGGACUUAAUGGAAUUUCUAUUAAGGUUCGGAAGUGUUUAGGUGACUUGAGGGGAACCGGAUGACUAAUUUAUUUAAUAAGAUUGUAAAAAGACCUAGAAAAUGCUUGAUGAAUGGAGG
rnacentral:lncRNA from 1 species